CCUUCCGUAAGGGAACCUGCGGAAGGAUCAUUACAGUAUUCUUUUGCCAGCGCUUAACUGCGCGGCGAAAAACCUUACACACAGUGUCUUUUUGAUACAGAACUCUUGCUUUGGUUUGGCCUAGAGAUAGGUUGGGCCAGAGGUUUAACAAAACACAAUUUAAUUAUUUUUACAGUUAGUCAAAUUUUGAAUUAAUCUUCAAAACUUUCAACAACGGAUCUCUUGGUUCUCGCAUCGAUGAAGAACGCAGCGAAAUGCGAUAAGUAAUAUGAAUUGCAGAUUUUCGUGAAUCAUCGAAUCUUUGAACGCACAUUGCGCCCUCUGGUAUUCCAGAGGGCAUGCCUGUUUGAGCGUCAUUUCUCUCUCAAACCCCCGGGUUUGGUAUUGAGUGAUACUCUUAGUCGGACUAGGCGUUUGCUUGAAAAGUAUUGGCAUGGGUAGUACUGGAUAGUGCUGUCGACCUCUCAAUGUAUUAGGUUUAUCCAACUCGUUGAAUGGUGUGGCGGGAUAUUUCUGGUAUUGUUGGCCCGGCCUUACAACAACCAAACAAGUUUGACCUCAAAUCAGGUAGGAAUACCCGCUGAACUUAAGCAUAUCAAUAAGCGGAG
rnacentral:rRNA from 1 species